rnacentral:piRNA from 1 species
UUGCAUUAUCUGUGGUCACCAG